rnacentral:rRNA from 4 species
UCGAACGCGUUGGCCCAAUUGAUUGAUGGUGCUUGCACCUGAUUGAUUUUGGUCGCCAACGAGUGGCGGACGGGUGAGUAACACGUAGGUAACCUGCCCAGAAGCGGGGGACAACAUUUGGAAACAGAUGCUAAUACCGCAUAACAGCGUUGUUCGCAUGAACAACGCUUAAAAGAUGGCUUCUCGCUAUCACUUCUGGAUGGACCUGCGGUGCAUUAGCUUGUUGGUGGGGUAACGGCCUACCAAGGCGAUGAUGCAUAGCCGAGUUGAGAGACUGAUCGGCCACAAUGGGACUGAGACACGGCCCAUACUCCUACGGGAGGCAGCAGUAGGGAAUCUUCCACAAUGGGCGCAAGCCUGAUGGAGCAACACCGCGUGAGUGAAGAAGGGUUUCGGCUCGUAAAGCUCUGUUGUUAAAGAAGAACACGUAUGAGAGUAACUGUUCAUACGUUGACGGUAUUUAACCAGAAAGUCACGGCUAACUACGUGCCAGCAGCCGCGGUAAUACGUAGGUGGCAAGCGUUAUCCGGAUUUAUUGGGCGUAAAGAGAGUGCAGGCGGUUUUCUAAGUCUGAUGUGAAAGCCUUCGGCUUAACCGGAGAAGUGCAUCGGAAACUGGAUAACUUGAGUGCAGAAGAGGGUAGUGGAACUCCAUGUGUAGCGGUGGAAUGCGUAGAUAUAUGGAAGAACACCAGUGGCGAAGGCGGCUACCUGGUCUGCAACUGACGCUGAGACUCGAAAGCAUGGGUAGCGAACAGGAUUAGAUACCCUGGUAGUCCAUGCCGUAAACGAUGAGUGCUAGGUGUUGGAGGGUUUCCGCCCUUCAGUGCCGGAGCUAACGCAUUAAGCACUCCGCCUGGGGAGUACGACCGCAAGGUUGAAACUCAAAGGAAUUGACGGGGGCCCGCACAAGCGGUGGAGCAUGUGGUUUAAUUCGAAGCUACGCGAAGAACCUUACCAGGUCUUGACAUCUUGCGCCAACCCUAGAGAUAGGGCGUUUCCUUCGGGAACGCAAUGACAGGUGGUGCAUGGUCGUCGUCAGCUCGUGUCGUGAGAUGUUGGGUUAAGUCCCGCAACGAGCGCAACCCUUGUUACUAGUUGCCAGCAUUAAGUUGGGCACUCUAGUGAGACUGCCGGUGACAAACCGGAGGAAGGUGGGGACGACGUCAGAUCAUCAUGCCCCUUAUGACCUGGGCUACACACGUGCUACAAUGGACGGUACAACGAGUCGCGAACUCGCGAGGGCAAGCAAAUCUCUUAAAACCGUUCUCAGUUCGGACUGCAGGCUGCAACUCGCCUGCACGAAGUCGGAAUCGCUAGUAAUCGCGGAUCAGCAUGCCGCGGUGAAUACGUUCCCGGGCCUUGUACACACCGCCCGUCACACCAUGAGAGUUUGUAACACCCAAAGUCGGUGGGGUAACCUUUUAGGAGCCAGCCGCCUAAGGUG